CACGGGGGGAGCAAGCGUUGUUCGGAAUCACUGGGCGUAAAGGGUGCGCAGGCGGCCAAGUGUGUCAGAUGUGAAAGCUCGAGGCUUAACCUCGAAACUGCGCCUGAAACUAUUUGGCUAGAGUACUGGAGAGGGAAGUGGAAUUCACGGUGUAGCAGUGAAAUGCGUAGAUAUCGUGAGGAACACCAAUGGCGAAUGCAACUUCCUGGACAGUUACUGACGCUCAGGCACGAAAGCGUGGGGAGCAAAAGGG
rnacentral:rRNA from 1 species